rnacentral:lncRNA from 1 species
GCUUUUAUCCUUUACCAUGGGAGACUCAGUUCAACAAAACAGCCAGAAUAGGACAGACUCAUAUACCAUUCUGAUCUGGGUGCAUUUCUUCAGAAGGUACGCUGUGCUCAUGGGGAACUGCGGCUGCCCGGGCAUGGGGCUGACAAGGCCGGGAGGAAAGUCUGUGUGUGCAUUUUAACAAGAAGGUUUCCCAGGGAAGUGAGGGAAGUAAAAUGAUGGGCACCAAAGGCUUUGAGGCCGCUCCGCCCUCUCCUGAUAUUCAUUCCUCUCGUGUCCCAGCAGAAUUUCUGCUGGGAUUCUUCAGAGAUACCCUUGGUUUAAGUUGAUUGAUGUAAAGGAGGCCAGUGGGGAAAUCAGAGGAAGUUGGGGGGUAGGGGGAGGCCAGAGUGAUGGUUCUGGGAAUUCUUGACCCUGCCUUAUUUCUCAGUAGGAUAUUGUGCUGGGUAGGGGUGAGGCCGGGGCGGGGGGCGGGGGACAAGGAAUCUUAGGAAUGCUGUGAGCAAACUAUAAUCAGGCCCCAUCCUUGUCCUAAAGAGGAAACUAAUCAGGCCCCACGUGCUUUGUGUUUGUGCUUAGUUGCUCAGUCAUGUCCAACUUUGCGACCCCACGGACUACAGCCUGCCAGGCUCCUCUGUCCAUGGGGUUUUCCAGGCAGAGUAGUGCCGUUUCCCUCUCCAAUCGGGCCCCAUCCUUGUCCUAAAUAUCUCCCGUCUCGCUGCUUCUCAGUUACAGCAUGCCCACAUGGUCCUACCUGUUAUAGCGAGAGGAUGCCUCUUGCUCACUGACACUCGACAGGGCACGGGAAUGCCCUGACCACCGUGCACACCCCUGGGAGCAGGACUUCUAAGGCCCGCAAGCCACCUACCAGUGAACUUUCCCUGGCUUUCCACUGGGCUCCGAGAGUGGACAGGACAGCUAGGUGCCACCACUGGAUGUCAAGGGUCAGCAGGGUCACUCUGCCCCUAAAGGCUCUAGAGAAGAGCCCCUCUUGACCUUUUGCUU